GACGAACGCUGGCGGCGUGCUUAACACAUGCAAGUCGAACGGAAAGGCCCCAGCUUGCUGGGGUACUCGAGUGGCGAACGGGUGAGUAACACGUGGGUGAUCUGCCCUGCACUCUGGGAUAAGCCUGGGAAACUGGGUCUAAUACCGGAUAGGACCGUGCUUUAGUGUGUGCGGUGGAAAGUUUUUCGGUGCAGGAUGAGCCCGCGGCCUAUCAGCUUGUUGGUGGGGUAAUGGCCUACCAAGGCGGCGACGGGUAGCCGGCCUGAGAGGGUGUACGGCCACAUUGGGACUGAGACACGGCCCAGACUCCUACGGGAGGCAGCAGUGGGGAAUAUUGCACAAUGGGCGCAAGCCUGUUGCAGCGACGCCGCGUGGGGGAUGACGGCCUUCGGGUUGUAAACCCCUUUCGGCAGGGACGAAGCUUUUGUGACGGUACCUGCAUAAGAAGCACCGGCUAACUACGUG
rnacentral:rRNA from 1 species